UGAGGAAUAUUGGUCAAUGGGCGGGAGCCUGAACCAGCCAAGCCGCGUGAGGGAAUAAGGCCCUACGGGUCGUAAACCUCUUUUGUCGGGGAACAAACCGGAGACGAGUCUCCGGCUGCGUGUACCCGAAGAAAAGCAUCGGCUAACUCCGUGCC
rnacentral:rRNA from 1 species